rnacentral:rRNA from 1 species
AUUGAACGCUGGCGGCAUGCUUUACACAUGCAAGUCGAACGGUAACAGGCCUUCGGGUGCUGACGAGUGGCGGACGGGUGAGUAAUGCAUCGGAACGUACCCAGAGGUGGGGGAUAACGCAGCGAAAGCUGUGCUAAUACCGCAUGUGAUCUGAGGAUGAAAGCGGGGGACCGGGCAGCAAUGUUUGGCCUCGCGCCUUUGGAGCGGCCGAUGUCGGAUUAGCUAGUUGGUGGGGUAAAGGCCUACCAAGGCGACGAUCCGUAGCUGGUCUGAGAGGACGACCAGCCACACUGGGACUGAGACACGGCCCAGACUCCUACGGGAGGCAGCAGUGGGGAAUGGUGGACAAUGGGCGCAAGCCUGAUCCAGCAAUGCCGCGUGCGGGAAGAAGGCCUUCGGGUUGUAAACCGCUUUUGGCAGGAACGAAACGGUGUCCGCUAAUACCGGGCGCUAAUGACGGUACCUGCAGAAUAAGCACCGGCUAACUACGUG